rnacentral:lncRNA from 1 species
GAACUGUGUCCUAAAUUAUGCUACAUAUUAUGGGAGGUCAUUUUGUGCAGGAAGAUGUUGGUGUGUGGGAGAGAAAAAAAGGAGUCACAAUCUCUGCAUUCUGACUAGAGUCCACCUCCAGGAGAAGCGGGAAAACAAGGCAUAAGCUGCUAGAACUGAGGAGAGGGAAAAACAAGCAUCCGGCGAGGGCAGGAGGAACAGGAGAGGGGAGUCAUGGAUCUGCCUGGCCACCAGAGGGCAGCAGAGACGGGCUCACUGUCGGCUUCAAGGAUGUUCCGCAAGUCGAUUCACUUACAGACUCUUCUUCAAAUGCGGCGGUCACCUGUGACCCACAUUCAUAACUCCCUCAGCCACUAGACGACAAAAGAAGCCCUGAGUUUAGGCUGACUGAGAUUUUCAUUCUAGCUUUGCUAUACAUUUGGGCAAGCUUUACUUUGGGGAAAGGAAAGAAAAAUCAGCAGCUCUCAUCUCCUGGAGGCACAGUGGCUUGUCCUCCACAGUCCCCUCGGUUUGCUGACUGACUGGAGGAGAGAGAGCACCUGCAGAAGCCCUGCGACUCCUCCCCCAGAUGACCCCAAAGAAGCUGCACUCACAGAGAUAUCCGGGCAUGUCUCACACUGGAAAUAGGGGACCCUUCCAAAUAUUGGGAGAAAGAAGGCAAAGAAAAUCAUACCGAUAUACUAAGCCUCCUGCAUUUGCACCCAUCCAGCCUGCCAUUCAUCCUGGGUUCUUUUACUUGGUCCUCUUGGGGCCUCUGAGAGGAUCUCCAUCUCUGCGAAGUGCAUUCCCCACCGGGCUGUUGCAGUUCCACAC